rnacentral:misc_RNA from 1 species
GUCGAAGCACUGCGAGUUCGACUCGUCAUCAUUAGAGGACAAUCUCCGUGAUCAAUUUACGUGUGGAUUAAAAAGUGACACUAUAAAACAACGUCUCUUUGCCGAGAAAAAUCUAACCUAUGCGAGAGCGGUAAGCCUCGCGCUCUCGUUGGAAGCGGCGGAGAGGGACGCGGCUACGGUAGAACGCCCGUGUGCGAGCGAGAGCACCGUAGGCAGAUCAGAUAUGGCGUCCGUAAAUGCGAUCACACCGGGACCACGUGGCGGAAAUAUAGGCAGUAAUCGGAACAACAGUGCCAGUGCUAGCAAUAUGCAGAACAAUGCGCCCAAAUGUGCAGUUUGUGGACGGCAAGACCACCGCGAAGCAGCGUGCCGCUAUAAGAACUUCACGUGUAGCAAGUGUGGUUCCGUGGGCCAUCUGAGGCGGGUAUGCCCGUCUUGGGGAUCGGCUAGCGGCAGUAGCGGCCAGGGAGCGCCCGGCGGGCGCGGGCCGGGCGCCGCCGGCAGGCGCGGCGCGGCCGCGGGGGCGCGGCGCGGGCGGCGCGCCCUGCACCACGUCCAGGCCACUUAUGAGACUCCAGGGGCCGACGAGGACAAUUCGUCGGAAACUGAAUUGGAAGAAAAUUUGCAUCACCUAUGUUUAAACGACUACAGACCGAUAUAAGGAGCUGUUUAGCGGCGGUUUGGGGCGGUUCACGGGCGGCAAGGCGACGCUUCGCGUGAAGGAGGGCGCGGCGCCGGUGUACUGUCGCGCGCGCCCGCUGCCCUACGCGCUGCGGGACCGGGUGGACCACGAGCUGGACGAGAUGCUGCGCAGCGGCGUCAUCGAGCCCGUCGACACCUCGGAGUGGGCUACGCCUCUGGUGCCGAUCCAUCAGCUUUACUCUUACCACAAGACAGACCAUUGGCACCAGAGAACAUGACAAGAGAAGC